rnacentral:rRNA from 1 species
AACGAACGCUGGCGGCAUGCCUAACACAUGCAAGUCGAACGAGACCUUCGGGUCUAGUGGCGCACGGGUUCGUAACGCGUGGGAACCUGCCCUUAGGUUCGGAAUAACUCUCCGAAAGGGGUGCUAAUACCGGAUAAUGUCUUCGGACCAAAGAUUUAUCGCCUUUGGAUGGGCCCGCGUUGGAUUAGCUAGUUGGUAGGGUAAAAGCCUACCAAGGCGACGAUCCAUAGCUGGUCUGAGAGGAUGAUCAGCCACACUGGGACUGAGACACGGCCCAGACUCCUACGGGAGGCAGCAGUGGGGAAUAUUGGACAAUGGGCGAAAGCCUGAUCCAGCAAUGCCGCGUGAGUGAUGAAGGCCUUAGGGUUGUAAAGCUCUUUUACCCGGGAUGAUAAUGACAGUACCGGGAGAAUAAGCUCCGGCUAACUCCGUG